AUUGAACGCUGGCGGCAGGCCUAACACAUGCAAGUCGAGCGGAUGAAGGUGGCUUGCUAUCUGAUUCAGCGGCGGACGGGUGAGUAAUGCGUAGGCAUCUGCCUGGUAGUGGGGGACAACGUUUCGAAAGGAACGCUAAUACCGCAUACGUCAUACGGGAGAAAGUGGGGGAUCUUCGGACCUCCCGCUAUCAGAUGAGCCUAGGUACGAUUAGCUAGUUGGUGAGGUGAAGGCUCACCAAGGCGACGAUCGUUAACUGGUCUGAGAGGAUGAUCAGUCACACUGGAACUGAGACACGGUCCAGACUCCUACGGGAGGCAGCAGUGGGGAAUAUUGGACAAUGGGCGAAAGCCUGAUCCAGCCAUGCCGCGUGUGUGAAGAAGGUCUUCGGAUUGUAAAGCACUUUAAGUUGGGAGGAAGGGCAGUAAGUUAAUACCUUGCUGUUUUGACGUUACCAACAGAAUAAGCACCGGCUAACUUCGUGCCAGCAGCCGCGGUAAAAC
rnacentral:rRNA from 1 species